AAAAAGAUAAACCCUGGGUUUUCGUGCCAACGUAUGACUGAUCGUCUUAUAUGAAAUUUUUUUAUAAUUAGUAUUUUCAUUGUUGUUAGAUGAUAAAAUAUGAUUAAUACUUUAUGCGUGACUUAUCUUUUUAAUUUUUUUAUAAUUUUUUCAAAUAAAACAAACGGUCAAACGUUGGACACGAAAAUCAGGAUUUGUCUUUUU
rfam:Oryza glumipatula chromosome 2, whole genome shotgun sequence.